rnacentral:rRNA from 1 species
CCUACGGGAGGCAGCAGUGAGGAAUAUUGGUCAAUGGGCGCGAGCCUGAACCAGCCAAGUAGCGUGAAGGAUGACUGCCCUACGGGUUGUAAACUUCUUUUAUAAAGGAAUAAAGUGAGGCACGUGUGCCGUUUUGGAUGUACUGUAUGAAUAAGGAUCGGCUAACUCCGUGCCAGCAGCCGCGGUAAUACGGAGGAGCCGAGCGUUAUCCGGAUUUAGUGGGUUUACAGGGAGCGUAGAGGGGUUGUUAAGUCAGUGGUGAAAGUUUGCGGCUCCACCGUAAAAUUGCCAUUGAUACUGGCAGUCUUGAGUACAGUUGAGGUCGGCGGCCUUCGUUGUGUAGCGG